rnacentral:rRNA from 1 species
AUUGAACGCUGGCGGCAGGCCUAACACAUGCAAGUCGAACGAGUGGCGGACGGGUGAGUAAUGUCUGGGAAACUGCCCGAUGGAGGGGGAUAACUACUGGAAACGGUAGCUAAUACCGCAUACCAUCGGAUGUGCCCAGAUGGGAUUAGCUUGUAGGUGAGGUAACGGCUCACCUAGGCGACGAUCCCUAGCUGGUCUGAGAGGAUGACCAGGCACAUGGGAAAUGAGAAAGGGGCCAGACGACUAGGGGAGGCAGCAGUGGGGCAUAUUGAACAAGGGGCGCAAGCCUGAUGCAGACAUGCCGCGUGGAGGAAGAAGGCCUUCGGGUUGUAAAGUACUUUCAGCGGGGAGGCGUUACCCGCAGAAGAAGCCCCGGCUAACUCCGUGCCAGCAGCCGCGGUAAUAC